UACGUAGGGUGCAAGCGUUAAUCGGAAUUACUGGGCGUAAAGGGCGCGUAGGCGGUCCGUUAAGUCAGAUGUGAAAGCCCCGAGCUUAACUUGGGAACUGCAUUUGAUACUGACGGACUAGAGAGUGAGAGAGGAAAGUGGAAUUACGAGUGUAGAGGUGAAAUUCGUAGAUAUUCGUAAGAACACCAGUGGCGAAGGCGACUUUCUGGCUCAAAACUGACGCUAAGGCGCGAAAGCGUGGGGAGCAAACAGG
rnacentral:rRNA from 1 species